rnacentral:lncRNA from 1 species
CUUCCCUUUCCUUUCCGUACCAGUGUGCAUGAUCGCUGGCGAUCGGUGCCGUCGGAUUUUGUUGGGAAAAUAGUCUCCUGUUCUGCUCCUCUUUUUUGGCUUUUCUGCAUCGGUGGUCACAGCUGACCACUGGUUUGGUCCCUCUAGGCCAUGGGAUCGUCAUCUCCUUGCCUUCGGCCACCGCCGUGCCGGCUACGACCCUUGAUCGACCGACCAAAGGAGGGACCGCGUGGUCCCCUGUUUUUGCCCAAGUGAGCCACGAGAAGAAGGAAGAAAAGA